rnacentral:sRNA from 1 species
GAAGACGACGACGACGAU